rnacentral:rRNA from 1 species
UACGUAGGUGGCGAGCGUUGUCCGGAUUUAUUGGGCGUAAAGCGCCCGCAGGCGGCCUGAUAAGUUUCAGGUGAAAUCUCCCGGCUUAACUGGGAGGGGUCCUGGAAAACUGUCAGGCUUGAGGCAGGGAGAGGGAUGUGGAAUUCCCGGUGUAGUAGUGAAAUGCGUAGAUAUCGGGAGGAACACCAGUGGCGAAGGCGGCAUCCUGGCCCUGUCCUGACGCUCAGGGGCGAAAGCGUGGGGAGCAAACCGG